rnacentral:rRNA from 1 species
AUUGAAAGCUGGCGGCAGGCCUAACACAUGCAAGUCGAACGAGUAGCGGACGUGUGAGUAAUGUCUGGGAAACUGCCCGAGGGAGGGGGAUAGAUACCGGGAACGAUAGCUAAUAACGCAUACGAUCCCACGUGCCCAGAUGGGAUUAGCUUGUAGGUGGGGUAAAGGCUUACCUAGCGCACGAUCCCUAGCGGGUGUGAGAGGAUGACCAGCCACACUGGUACUGAGACACGGCCCAGACACCUACGUGAGGCAGCAGUGGGGAAUAUUGCACAAUGGGGGAAAGCCUGAUGCAGCCAGGCCGCGUGUAUGAAGAAGGCCUUCGGGUUGUAAAGUACUUUCAGCCGGGAGGCGUUACCGGCAGAAGAAGCACCGGCUAACUCCGUGCCAGCAGCCGCGGUAAUUC